CAGGCCCUGACCUUACAUCCUAAGUGUCCUCAACAAACUGGGAACUUCCAUUUUCCUCACAGCCUCUGUCAUGGUUUAUAGUUUCAGACCCACCUUCAGAUGGUAUCUGAGCCUGACAUAGCAUCUGUGUACUUUUGCAUGGUUGAAAUUUUCCAUACUAAACAUUUUUUUUUUUUAAAGAGUAGCAUUUGGGUUUUCAUUCUCUGCUCUCUCUGGAGCCGGGCUCCACCUCACCAGCUUAAGGAGUUAUCUUGUCUCAAGUGGGCGCUUCAGUCUCUGACCACCUCCAGGCCUGGCCACACCCAGCUUACCUGGGAAAUAUCAACCUCACGAUGUGGAUGUGGUGUCUGGAGCUCUGGCUGCCCUCUGGGAACAUGAGGUCAAGCAAGCAUCACCCCUUUGGGGUGACAGGGUGAUGGACUGGAAGGAGCCUGGGUUCCUGAAAGUUCUGUGGAGCUGCCACACCAACCCUGGACCGCCUGUGUGAUAGAGAAAACCUGUUAUCUUGUUUGAUCAACUGUUACUUGGCUUUUCCAUACUACCUGAUUACACCCUUCGCCAAGCGCCUGGAGGGGCUCAGCACCCUGUUCCAGGCCCAGAAAAACAGCAAAACCAGACCAGCAACCCUAUGGCUGACCGCAGGACCAGCUGCAUUGGAUAAUGACCCCUGGUGCAGGCCAAUCAGUGGAGACCACAA